AUUGAACGCUGGCGGCAGGCCUAACACAUGCAAGUCGAGCGGCAGCGGAAAGUAGCUUGCUACUUUGCCGGCGAGCGGCGGACGGGUGAGUAAUGUCUGGGAAACUGCCUGAUGGAGGGGGAUAACUACUGGAAACGGUAGCUAAUACCGCAUAACGUCGCAAGACCAAAGAGGGGGACCUUCGGGCCUCUUGCCAUCAGAUGUGCCCAGAUGGGAUUAGCUAGUAGGUGGGGUAACGGCUCACCUAGGCGACGAUCCCUAGCUGGUCUGAGAGGAUGACCAGCCACACUGGAACUGGGAAACGGUCCAGACUCCUACGGGAGGCAGCAGUGGGGAAUAUUGCACAAUGGGCGCAAGCCUGAUGCAGCCAUGCCGCGUGUAUGAAGAAGGCCUUCGGGUUGUAAAGUACUUUCAGCGGGGAGGAAGGUGUUGUGGUUAAUAACCACAGCAAUUGACGUUACCCGCAGAAGAAGCACCGGCUAACUCCGUGCCAGCAGCCGCGGUAA
rnacentral:rRNA from 1 species